rnacentral:misc_RNA from 1 species
GGUUUUGGUGUUGAUUUGUGGAAGAUUGUUUUCUGGUUGGGUUAUAAGGUUGGUUGUGUACUUCAUUGAGAGUAAUUUUUUGUUGCGAAAACGCGUUUUAUAUUUCGUGUAUGGAUUGAGGAAUUCAGUGCAGAAUUGUAUUUGGUUGAGUUUAGUUUUGAUUGCUUGGCUGUGUAUUUUUGAUGAAAAAGUUGAUAAAAUGACUGGUGGGAAGGUUUUGCCUCAUGUGUCAAGUAUUUGGAUUUGUCUUUUGGUUGGUGCAUACAUUUGGUUGUUGAAAACGCUUCUUGUGAAGGUACUAGCUAUGUCAUUUCAUGUUAGUAUAUUCUUUGAUCGAAUUCAAGAAUCUUUGUUUAAUCAGUAUGUGAUCGAGACGUUGUCUGGGCCUGCAUUGGUUGAGAUUGAUCAAUCGGAGCAAGAGGAGGAAGGAGAGAAAGUUAUGGUUGAA